rnacentral:rRNA from 1 species
UACGUAGGGGGCAAGCGUUGUCCGGAAUCAUUGGGCGUAAAGAGCGCGUAGGCGGCCCUGUAAGUCCGCUGUGAAAGUCAAGGGCUCAACCCUUGAAUGCCGGUGGAUACUGCAGGGCUAGAGUCCGGAAGAGGCGAGCUGGAAUUCCUGGUGUAGCGGUGAAAUGCGCAGAUAUCAGGAGGAACACCGAUGGCGAAGGCAGGUCUCUGGGCCGAUACUGACGCUGAGGAGCGAAAGCGUGGGGAGCGAACAGG